rnacentral:rRNA from 1 species
AUAGCGUAUAUUUAAGUUGUUGCAGUUAAAAAGCUCGUAGUUGGAUCUUGGGUCGUAAGGGUCGGUCCGCCUACUCGGUGUGCACCUGCCCUUCCGUCCCUUUUGUCGGCGGCGUGCUCCUGGCCUUAAUUGGCUGGGUCGCGGUUCCGGCGCUGUUACUUUGAAAAAAUUAGAGUGCUCAAAGCAAGCUUAUGCUCUGAAUACAUUAGCAUGGAAUAACGUGAUAGGAGUCUGGUCCUAUUGUGUUGGCCUUCGGGACCGGAGUAAUGAUUAAUAGGGACUGUCGGGGGCAUUCGUAUUUCAUUGUCAGAGGUGAAAUUCUUGGAUUUAUGAAAGACGGACCACUG